rnacentral:rRNA from 1 species
UCCGUAGGUGAACCUGCGGAAUGUCAUUAUCGGUUUUCUGAGGCUCAGCCCUCGGCUAAACUACCUCUCGGGAACUCGUUCCUGGGGUCGCUGGCCUGUCUGCCGGCGACCGAACGCUGUGUGCGGAGCUGAGGUCGGGUCCUCGUGGACCUCCUCGACUUGCUCUGCCGGCGGCCCGGUUCUUGGGUGCGGCGUGCCGUUAGCUUAGCGCUCGAUGGCUUUAAAACCGCUCAAAGCUCUUCGCCCUCGACCGGGUUCAUUUUGUUGAUCUCCCCCUCGUGAGGAGCUGUCAACUCUUACUGUCUUUUGUGAAAAAGGCCAAGUUUUGGUCAACCUUUUGUUAAAAACAAUACUGUACGGUGGAUCACUUGGCUCGGGGGUCGAUGAAGAACGCAGCAAACUGCGUGUCGGAAUGUGAACUGCAGGACAUAUGAGCAUCGACACUUUGAACGCAUAUUGCGGAUCGUAGCUCGUCUACUAUCCAUGUCUGGCUCAGGGUCGGUUUAACAUCCAUCCAGCAACUUGCUGGCAUUGAGCUCUUCCCUUGAGUCUACCUCGAGGGUGGCUUUAAGAUUUUGGGCUUGAGACCUCGUCUCUGCUGCUGACUCUCGGGUGGAUCGUUUUCUCAGAUUACCCGGGUUGGCUGACUUGAGGACUCUUGCUCUCGGGAGCGGCUGUCUAAGUCGCUCCUGGCCCCUUUAUCUCACGACCUGAGAGCAGAACAGAUUACCCGCCAAAUUUAAGCAUAUCAAUA